AUUUGUUUGAAAAUCUUUAUGUGAUUGUUGCUUCAUUUUAAAAAUCAGACCUCACAAACCUGAGCCAAGUUAUGUGCAAAAUAAUAUGCCAGUUGCACAGCCCUGGAGGCCAGUGUGAGCCCUGCCUCCAUCUGCCUGCAUGUGGGGUCUCCCUAGAAGGAAGCCUUUGGUAGGUGGGUGGGAAGAUUAGGGUGCUCGAAUGGGUACUGUGAGGAGGUGCAGUGGCACCAGGCUCUAGCAGCCUCCUGCCUCCAGGAGAGGCCCAGGUUGGGAUCACUGCAGCGACCAACGCCUCGGAUCACUCGAGGGCUAGAAGGCACCCACCAGGUGUGUGGACAGGAGCGCUCAGGGGCCUUGCACAUUGGGCAUAUUAUGGCGUCAGUUUCGGAAUCAGCCUGCAUGGAGUCGGACCAGGACACCCAGCCAGGAUUCCGUCGUCGGGGAGGGGAACGCCCAUGUGGCUUGUGUGAAGGGUGCUUCAGGGGACGCAAAGGCUCUGGUGGCUGGGAGGAGCUGAGGGAUGACAGAUACCCCAAGGAUUCUGUGGAGCUGGUCGGGUUUGGUGAUAGGGUGCUCGCAGGUGGCCGGUGUGAAGGGUGCUUCAGGGGACACAGAGGCUCUGAUGCCUGGGAGGAGCUCAGGGAUGAUGGAGACCCAAGGGACUCUAUGGAGGUCUUCGGGACUGAUGACGGCAUGGAGGCCAGAGGAGCCGGGGGAGCCCGUGGGGAUUAGACCCUGGAGCCCCAGCAUCCCUGUCCAAGGCCACAGGGCCCCAGGAGUGAUAGCCAGAUGCCCGGUGGGCAGCGUUUUCUCAUUUAUAGAGUGCCUCCUGACACUCCCCAUCAUGGGGGUCACGACCACCUCCUGGGGAGAGAGGACAGGGUGGCCUCAGAGAGGGCUCAGCCAUGUUAAACAGCUGCCCACAUGGACCUGCAGCCCCUCCUGCAUGUCCAGGUGGUCACUGGUCCCCUCCCCCACACGGUCCCCUCCUGGGCAACACCUGCUUCCUGGACCCCAUGGCUUCAUCCCAUGGAGAGGGAUCCCGGGUUCCAAUUUCUCUCCUAGGAGGUUCCCUUCAGGCCUCUGAAAAUGAAUUCCUUGGAGACAAGCAGCAUGUUCCUAGGAUCAGGUGAAGCUGUCACCUCUGGGGGCUUCUGGGACCCUCAGAGCCUUACCUUUCAAAGUGAUAUAUUUAUUUCCGAUCCUGAGCCAUUCCCCCACUUCAGCUUGAUCCUGAGAGACAAGAAAGAGGGUGCAGGCCGGGUCUCAGUCUCCUGUCCCCACAGCUGCAGACCCAGUGCUCGUGAAUGACACACUUUCUCCGCCCAGCUCAUGGAGCCUGUGUGCUUCUCUUUCACUGGUUUCUAAAGUGCGUAAUAACCUUUUUCUGGUUUCCUUCUCUGGAAAGCAUGGAGGGGUUUUCUAUGUGAGGCCUGCCCUGGGUAUCCUCAGUCCCUGUUCCGCUGCUUGGGAAACACACACUCUUGGGUCUGCAGGUGCCUCUGAGCUGGCAGGGAGGAUUCUGCUUCCGAGGAGGCCAGGGGCGACUCCAGUCUCAGGUGGGAGGCUCUCAGGGGCUCAGCACAGCCCCCAGAGCACCUCACACAGAGGCUGGGCCCCGAGGCACCUGCCCAGGAAGGCGGCUGAUGAGCCCGGGCUCAGGGCCUGUCCUUCCACAGAGACCUCACCCCUCUCAUGACCGGGUCCUCGCCGCUGAGUCCUGGGGUUUGGUUUUGCUCUGACGCCUCCCGUGCACCUCCACAGAUGGUCUGGGGGCUUGGGUUGGAAAUCCUAUGCCCACUCCAACCCCUGCCUGCCCUGCUGUCCCUAGAGGGAUGAUGAGAGUUCCCAUCACAGGAGCGCCUCUGGUUGAUGUGGAAAAGUGGAAAAGAGAGCAGGAAAAAUAGAAGCAUUCUCUGCUGGGUGUGGGCUGAGGGCUCCUUACAUUCUCGCUGUCCUCCUCUCUGGGAGGCACUGAGGAUGGCUCCCUGGGAAUGUAGGGGCAUAAGAUGAUCAGGAUCACCAGGCUGAACACAAUGAAGAGGACGAAAUGGAUGAUCUGGGGAAUGGGGCUGGGGCACAGCUCUGUCUCAAUAACACUGUGCAGAGGAAAGAGAAUAUCCAUGUCAACUGCACUGCUGUCCUCAGGCAGCU
rnacentral:lncRNA from 1 species